GUCAGGAGCGACAUCCUUGUUCUGCUGUCUACCACAGAAAACGCAAAUCACGGAAUUAAUGCCUCUGAGAAGCCUGCCUUUGCAUUGCUUACAUCGAAGGUAUGGAGGAGAAGGGUCAAGCUCGGAAAUUACGCGUUGGAAAGAGGGUAAAUCGGGAAGUUGAGGGUCUUCCGGGUUGUAGGAGGCGAGACCAGCCUCCUUGCGAAGUGAGAUCUGGAGUUCCCUUAUUUGAUCGUAUGGC
rnacentral:misc_RNA from 1 species